AUACUUACCUGUCAGGGCAAAUACCAUCAUCACAAACAUGGUUUUCCCAGGGUGAGGCUUAUCCAUUGCACUCUGGCUGUACAAACUUCCGCAAUUUCCCCAAAUAUGGGAAACUCGACUGCAUCAUUUGUUGUCAUGGGAGACUGCAUUUGCACUUUUCCCUA
ensembl:snRNA U1 U1 spliceosomal RNA